rnacentral:rRNA from 1 species
UAGGGAAUCUUCGGCAAUGGACGGAAGUCUGACCGAGCAACGCCGCGUGAGUGAAGAAGGUUUUCGGAUCGUAAAGCUCUGUUGUUAGAGAAGAACGUUGGUAGGAGUGGAAAAUCUACCAAGUGACGGUAACUAACCAGAAAGGGACGGCUAACUACGUGCCAGCAGCCGCGGUAAUACGUAGGUCCCGAGCGUUGUCCGGAUUUAUUGGGCGUAAAGCGAGCGCAGGCGGUUCUUUAAGUCUGAAGUUAAAGGCAGUGGCUUAACCAUUGUACGCUUUGGAAACUGGAGGUCUUGAGUGCAGAAGGGGAGAGUGGAAUUCCAUGUGUAGCGGUGAAGUGCGUAGGUAUAGGGAGAAACACCGGUGGCGAAAGCGGCUCUCUGGUCUGUAACUGACGCUGAGGCUCGAAAGCGUGGGGAGCAAACAGG